rnacentral:rRNA from 1 species
UACGUAGGGGGCGAGCGUUGUCCGGAUUUAUUGGGCGUAAAGAGCGUGUAGGCGGCCAGACAGGUCCGUUGUGAAAACUCGAGGCUCAACCUCGAGAUGUCGAUGGAAACCGUCCGGCUAGAGUCCGGAAGAGGAGUGUGGAAUUCCUGGUGUAGCGGUGAAAUGCGCAGAUAUCAGGAAGAACACCUAUGGCGAAGGCAGCACUCUGGGACGGUACUGACGCUGAGACGCGAAAGCGUGGGGAGCGAACAGG